rnacentral:rRNA from 1 species
UACAGAGGUCUCAAGCGUUGUUCGGAUUCAUUGGGCGUAAAGGGUGUGUAGGUGGCGCCGUAAGUCGGGUGUGAAAUUUCGGAGCUUAACUCCGAAACUGCAUUCAAUACUGCGGUGCUUGAGGACUGGAGAGGAGACUGGAAUUCAUGGUGUAGCAGUGAAAUGCGUAGAGAUCAUGAGGAAGACCAGUGGCGAAGGCGGGUCUCUGGACAGUUCCUGACACUGAGACACGAAGGCCAGGGGAGCAAACGGG